AAGGAAUAUUGGACAAUGGAGGCAACUCUGAUCCAGCCAUGCCGCGUGAAGGAAUAAGGCCCUAUGGGUUGUAAACUUCUUUUAGACGGGACAAAACCCCUUUACGUGUAAAGGGUUGAUGGUACUGUCAGAAUAAGCAUCGGCUAACUUCGUGCCAGCAGCCGCGGUAAUACGAAGGAUGCAAGCGUUAUCCGGAAUUAGUGGGUUUAAAGGGUGCGUAGGCGGACUAAUAAGUCAGUGGUGAAAGCCUGCAGCUUAACUGCAGAAUUGCCAUCGNUACUGUUAGUCUUGAGUACAGUUGAGGUAGGCGGAAUGUUUCAUGUAGCGGUGAAAUGCUUAGAUAUGACACAGAACACCGAUUGCGAAGGCAGCUUGCUAAGCUGUAACUGACGCUGAGGCACGAAAGCGUGGGGAGCAAACA
rnacentral:rRNA from 1 species